UGGCCUGGCGAGGCGAGGUGAGGCGGAACCGACUGGCCGGUUGGCCAUUACACUUCGAUGCGCUUUUCGGGAAUACAAUAAGGCUUUUACAUUAAUAAGCUGCGGCAAAGGCAUUUCAAUGAUUUCCUCGACAAUUUGUACCGAUUUGGUUUUUGGUUUCCCAGCAACAAGUUUGACCAUAAGGAAGGAAGUUGAUUGUCAGCCAGCAGCAUAAACAACAACAACAACUAUUGCAGAAGCAGCUACUCAAAGUUGACUUUUGUUACAAUUUUGCCAAAUGCUGAGACUGCGCAAAUUAGCCAUCAACAUCCAAGUUGGCCAAGUGGAGCAGGCGACGUGGCAGCGCGGGGCGUGGCCUGUGCAAUUUAUGAGUCGCAUUUCCUUUGACUAAACCAUGCAAGUCUCUUGGCAUGCAGCUUGCUCGCCUGGCUUAGUUACAUAAUCUCAGUAUCCCAGUCUCUCGGUCUUUAAUCAUAAUUGUCUUGCACACAUACAAACACGCACACACACUGCGACUUUUAAUCUGGCCACGCAUUUGGUUGUGCGGAAGACGAGAGGAAACCCCAUCCAAAUGACACCAAGCACAGCGAAUUGGUGAAAGCCAAAAUUGCUGCAAAUAAUAAUUGCUCAAGUGGCAUGUGCUCAUGGUGCAUGCAACAUUCUCAGCGCACACACCAGCCGACGCUAAUGAGAUGCAUUAGAUAAGUAGACUCCAUAAAGAUCAGAAAGUUAAGCGA